rfam:Camelus ferus unplaced genomic scaffold scaffold493, whole genome shotgun sequence.
GGAGGGUACAGCUCAGUGGUAGAGUGUGUGCUUAGCAUGCAUGAGGUCCUGGGUUCAAUCCCCAGGACCUCCA